CAGUCGACGAUGAUCCCAGCUUGCUGGGGGAUUAGUGGCGAACGGGUGAGUAACACGUGAGUAACCUGCCCUUGACUCUGGGAUAAGCCUGGGAAACUGGGUCUAAUACCGGAUAUGACUGUCUGACGCAUGUCAGGUGGUGGAAAGCUUUUGUGGUUUUGGAUGGACUCGCGGCCUAUCAGCUUGUUGGUGGGGUAAUGGCCUACCAAGGCGACGACGGGUAGCCGGCCUGAGAGGGUGACCGGCCACACUGGGACUGAGACACGGCCCAGACUCCUACGGGAGGCAGCAGUGGGGAAUAUUGCACAAUGGGCGCAAGCCUGAUGCAGCGACGCCGCGUGAGGGAUGACGGCCUUCGGGUUGUAAACCUCUUUCAGUAGGGAAGAAGCGAAAGUGACGGUACCUGCAGAAGAAGCGCCGGCUAACUACGUGCCAGCAGCCGCGGUAAUACGUAGGGCGCAAGCGUUAUCCGGAAUUAUUGGGCGUAAAGAGCUCGUAGGCGGUUUGUCGCGUCUGCUGUGAAAGACCGGGGCUCAACUCCGGUUCUGCAGUGGGUACGGGCAGACUAGAGUGCAGUAGGGGAGACUGGAAUUCCUGGUGUAGCGGUGAAAUGCGCAGAUAUCAGGAGGAACACCGAUGGCGAAGGCAGGUCUCUGGGCUGUAACUGACGCUGAGGAGCGAAAGCAUGGGGAGCGAACAGGAUUAGAUACCCUGGUAGUCCAUGCCGUAAACGUUGGGCACUAGGUGUGGGGGACAUUCCACGUUUUCCGCGCCGUAGCUAACGCAUUAAGUGCCCCGCC
rnacentral:rRNA from 1 species